UGGUUCCGAGCUUAAGGAGCUGGCUCUGAGCUUAAGGAGCUCGGCUCCGAGCCUAAAGAGCUCGGCUCCAAGCCUAAGCUCCUUAGGCUUGGGGUCGAGCUCUUUAGGCUCGGAGACAGCUCCUUAGGCUCGGAGCCGAGCUCCUUAAGUUUGGAGCCAGCUCCUUAAGCUCGGAA
rnacentral:miRNA from 1 species